UUUUUACUUUAUUAUCAAGUUGAUGAGAAAAAAAAUAUUGUUUUGUUAUUUGUUGUUUUGCUUAGGUUGUAGUUUCCAAGAACCUAUCAACAACAUUAAAUGAGGAUUUACAGUACUGCUUCUGCCAUCUUUCUCAUGGUACUUGUUUGUCAAAGGAAGAAGUGGUGGAGGAGAACUUUCAGGAAGGCACCAUUGGUCUUGAGCUGGAAGCCCGCCUUUUAGUUUUGAAGAGAGAAGAGGUGGAGGAGGAUGUGUGCUCCUUGAAGACGUGCUCACAGAAUCUAACUUGCUGUGGAGCGGUGAGAGGGCUCGACGAGGAUGCCAAUGGCCUUCAGAUGUCUCUGGCUCCUGUCACGGCUGUGUGAAGAAGACGUUGAGGUGUGAACUGAAAGUCGUUAUUCCUCCCUCGAGCUUGACUGUUGGAUUACCCAGAGGAGCCCAGUGUCCUGCAAUGAAUGGGUAUAUUAUGCCUUCCAUUAAAAGUUGUGGCUCUUAAUUAAAAACGUGAUCGUGAGUCUUUACGGAGACAUUGUUUAGGUUUUCUUUAGCUGUUAACACAUAAUAAAUCAUUUUAAAAGGACCGUUUCCCCUAUCUUUUAAUGGUUAGUGCAUUUUUAAAAAGUGAUUUGAAAAUAAAACUGGGAUUAAAUUUAGUGUUUGACAAGGUGCUAAGGGGCUCACCACCUCUGCCAGGAUAAGAAAAGGGGGCUUUACUUCAUUUGCUACUGACCUUCUUGUUUUCCUGGCUCUAGCCUGGCUUGAUCGAUUCAGAUGGCAGGGUGACUUUGGUGUCAGAA
rnacentral:lncRNA from 1 species